rnacentral:rRNA from 1 species
CUACGGGCCGCUGCAGUGGGGAAUUUUGGACAAUGGGCGCAAGCCUGAUCCAGCCAUUCCGCGUGAGUGAAGAAGGCCUUCGGGUUGUAAAGCUCUUUCGCAAGGGAAGAACACUUAGCUACUAAUAUUAGCUGAGGUUGACGGUACCUUGAUAAGAAGCACCGGCUAACUACGUGCCAGCAGCCGCGGUAAUACGUAGGGUGCGAGCGUUAAUCGGAAUUACUGGGCGUAAAGCGUGCGCAGGCGGUUUUGUAAGUCAGAUGUGAAAUCCCCGGGCUCAACUUGGGAACUGCGUUUGAAACUACAAGGCUAGAAUAUGUCAGAGGGGGGUAGAAUUCCACGUGUAGCAGUGAAAUGCGUAGAGAUGUGGAGGAAUACCAAUGGCGAAGGCAGCCCCCUGGGAUAAUAUUGACGCUCAUGCACGAAAGCGUGGGGAGCAAACAGGAUUAGAUACCCUCGUAGUC